UACGUAGGGGGCAAGCGUUGUCCGGAUUUAUUGGGCGUAAAGCGCGUGUAGGCGGCCAGAUAGGUCUGCUGUGAAAACUCGAGGCUCAACCUCGAGCUGUCGGCGGAAACCAUCUGGCUAGAGUCCGGAAGAGGAGAGUGGAAUUCCUGGUGUAGCGGUGAAAUGCGCAGAUAUCAGGAAGAACACCUAUGGCGAAGGCAGCUCUCUGGGGCGGUACUGACGCUGAGACGCGAAAGCGUGGGGAGCGAACAGG
rnacentral:rRNA from 1 species